GUCUAGGGCCACUUCACUCUGAAUGCUCUCGAUAUCUUCUGAUCUCGGAAGCUAAGCAGGGUCUGGCCUGGAUAGCUUAGUCCUUGGAUAGGAGAAGUGUGGCUACUACAUAAUAGGUGCUCAAAAUG
rnacentral:rRNA from 1 species